CCUACGGGAGGCAGCAGUAAGGAAUAUUGGUCAAUGGACGAAAGUCUGAACCAGCCAUGCCGCGUGAAGGAUUAAGGCCCUCUGGGUUGUAAACUUCUUUUAUCUGGGACGAAAAAAGGGUAUUCUUACUCACUUGACGGUACCAGAGGAAUAAGCACCGGCUAACUCCGUGCCAGCAGCCGCGGUAAUACGGAGGGUGCAAGCGUUAUCCGGAUUUACUGGGUUUAAAGGGUGCGUAGGUGGGCUUGUAAGUCAGUGGUGAAAUCUCCGGGCUUAACCCGGAAACUGCCAUUGAUACUAUAGGUCUUGAAUUAUCUGGAGGUAAGCGGAAUAUGUCAUGUAGCGGUGAAAUGCUUAGAUAUGACAUAGAACACCAAUUGCGAAGGCAGCUUACUACGGAUAUAUUGACACUGAGGCACGAAAGCGUGGGGAUCAAACAGGAUUAGAUACCCUGGUAGUCCACGCCCUAAACGAUGGAUACUCGACAUCAGCGAUACACUGUUGGUGUCUGAGCGAAAGCAUUAAGUAUCCACCUGGGAAGUACGAUCGCAAGAUUGAAACUCAAAUGAAUUGAGG
rnacentral:rRNA from 1 species